UACGUAGGGUGCAAGCGUUAAUCGGAAUUACUGGGCGUAAAGCGUGCGCAGGCGGUUGUGUAAGACAGAUGUGAAAUCCCCGGGCUCAACCUGGGAAUUGCAUUUGUGACUGCACGGCUAGAGUGUGUCAGAGGGGGGUAGAAUUCCACGUGUAGCAGUGAAAUGCGUAGAGAUGUGGAGGAAUACCGAUGGCGAAGGCAGCCCCCUGGGAUAACACUGACGCUCAUGCACGAAAGCGUGGGGAGCAAACAGG
rnacentral:rRNA from 1 species